rnacentral:rRNA from 1 species
AUGAACGCUGGCGGCGUGCCUAAUACAUGCAAGUCGAGCGAACAGACGAGGAGCUUGCUCCUCUGACGUUAGCGGCGGACGGGUGAGUAACACGUGGAUAACCUACCUAUAAGACUGGGAUAACUUCGGGAAACCGGAGCUAAUACCGGAUAAUAUAUUGAACCGCAUGGUUCAAUAGUGAAAGACGGUUUUGCUGUCACUUAUAGAUGGAUCCGCGCCGCAUUAGCUAGUUGGUAAGGUAACGGCUUACCAAGGCAACGAUGCGUAGCCGACCUGAGAGGGUGAUCGGCCACACUGGAACUGAGACACGGUCCAGACUCCUACGGGAGGCAGCAGUAGGGAAUCUUCCGCAAUGGGCGAAAGCCUGACGGAGCAACGCCGCGUGAGUGAUGAAGGUCUUCGGAUCGUAAACCUCUGUUAUUAGGGAAGAACAAAUGUGUAAGUAACUAUGCACGUCUUGACGGUACCUAAUCAGAAAGCCACGGCUAACUACGUG